GACAGAGGUGCCGAGCGUUAGGCGGAAUCACUGGGCUUAAAGCGUGUGUAGGCGGACUCGUAAGUGCUUUGUGAAAUCCCACGGCUCACCCGUGGAACUGCUUGGCAUACUGCGAGCCUUGAGCCACUUAGGGGCAACCGGAACAAACGGUGGAGCGGUGAAAUGCGUAGAUAUCGUUUGGAACGCCAAUGGUGAAAACAGGUUGCUGGGAGUGCGCUGACGCUGAGACACGAAAGCCAGGGGAGCAAACGGGAUUAGAAACCCCCGUAGUCC
rnacentral:rRNA from 1 species